UGGGGGAUCGUCUAACGGCAGGACAACAGCCUUUGGAGCUGUCUAUCGGGGUUCGAAUCCCUGUCCCCCAG
rnacentral:tRNA from 1 species